GUGAAUCAUCGAAUCUUUGAACGCACAUUGCGCCCUGUGGUAUUCCGCAGGGCAUGCCUGUUCGAGCGUCAGUACAACACUCAAGCCUAGCUUGGUCUUGGGCCUCGCCGGAGACGGCGGGCCUUAAAAUCAGUGGCGGCGCCUGUUAGGCCCUAAGCGUAGUAAUACUUCUCGCUAUAGGGACUCAGCAGACGCUGGCCAGCAACCCCCAACUUUCUAAGUUUGACCUCGGAUCAGGUAGGGAUACCCGCUGAACUUAAGCAUAUCAAUAAGCGGAGGA
rnacentral:misc_RNA from 1 species